CACGUGCGUGGACGCCGUCGGCCGGCUACACGUGCAUCUGCCCGCCUGGCAGGGCCGGCUCCCGCUGCUCGGAAGUGGUGGAUGCGCCCGUAUCGGGGGCCUCCUGCUUCUGGCGCGGCUCGCACUACUCGGACGCGACACGUGGCGGCACUCGUGCAACACGUGCCGCUGCCAGAACGGACUCGUCACGUGCACCAAGCUGUGGUGCGGCGCCGGCAACUGCAUCGAGUCCAUCAACGACGUGCUCACGCUGUCCGAGUGCGGCCCCAGCCAGGUGUGCGUGCGCGCCCCGAGCGAGUCCUGCCUGGCGCCGCCGUGCGCGCCGCUUGGCGAGUGCCGCAAGCUCGGCGUCGGCAAGACCGUCGGGCCGCCCAUCAGCCCGGCGCCCACCAGCUGCUGGCCCAACCAGGCGUUCCUCAGCAACUCGUGCGCCAAGCUGCGCGUGCGCUUCGACACGGCGCGGCUGGCGGUCGGCUCGACGGUCGAGUCGCUCUGCGGGCAGCUGCGCAGGCUGCUGGUCGACAGGCUGGCCGACUCGCUGACGGCCGAGGCGCUGGUCGUCAUGUGCGACCUGGCGGCCG